rnacentral:rRNA from 1 species
CGGGUACAACGAGUCGCAAGCUCGCGAGAGUAAGCUAAUCUCUUAAAGCCGUUCUCAGUUCGGACUGUAGGCUGCAACUCGCCUACACGAAGUCGGAAUCGCUAGUAAUCGCGGAUCAGCAUGCCGCGGUGAAUACGUUCCCGGGCCUUGUACACACCGCCCGUCACACCAUGGGAGUUUGUAACGCCCAAAGUCGGUGGCCUAACCUUUAUGGAGGGAGCCGCCUAAGGCGGGACAGAUGACUGGGGGUGAAGUCGUAACAAGGUACC